GACUCGUAAUCUGUGAAUUUCUUACUCAGGUAGUAGAUGGCAUUCUCUUUCCUACCUGUCUCGUCGUGUUGACCGAGAACACAACCCAUGGAAUUGUCUAGUACUGUCAAAUACAUAGUCAGCGGUCUCCCUGGGACCGAAGGCAUAAGGAUAGGAGGAUUCUGCAAAUACUCUUUUAUCUUCUCGAAAGCCCUUUGGCAAUCAUCAUUCCACCUGAUAGCCUGGUCUUUUCUCAACAAUUUGAAUAUUG
rnacentral:lncRNA from 1 species